rnacentral:sRNA from 2 species
CAUUCUAGAUCGCUUAAUUCCUGUGUUUUGGAAGCGGAGGAUCCACUAAGGCCGAUAUUCGGCUAGGGGUGAAAUCUUGUUUUCUGCAAGAUGGGGCUACUCUCAUGGUCCUAAUCCGACAGCUAACUUCGCAAGCGUGUUAAGAGAGGAUGA